GGAUUAGAUACCCUGGUAGUCCACGCCGUAAACGAUGUCUACUUGGAGGUUGUGGCCUUGAGCCGUGGCUUUCGGAGCUAACGCGUUAAGUAGACCGCCUGGGGAGUACGGUCGCAAGAUUAAAACUCAAAUGAAUUGACGGGGGCCCGCACAAGCGGUGGAGCAUGUGGUUUAAUUCGAUGCAACGCGAAGAACCUUACCUACUCUUGACAUCCACGGAAUUUGGUAGAGAUACCUUAGUGCCUUCGGGAACCGUGAGACAGGUGCUGCAUGGCCGUCGUCAGCUCGUGUUG
rnacentral:rRNA from 1 species